CCGCCCUCUCCAGCUCCGCUCCCCCUCCGGCCGCGCCCUCCCUGCCCGCCGUUAACACGCCUCCGGCACGUGGGGCACGCCGGGAGCUGGAGUCCGCGCUCUCGCACUCGCCGCUCAGGCCGCCCUGUGUGGGGACUACGAUUCCCGUCAGGCCGCGUGCGCUCAAGCGCCCGGACGCCGCGAGGGGCUGCGGCAAGGGGAGCGAAAUGCGGAGGUGACGUCACCCCGGGCCCGAGCCGCGCGGCCCCCUCCCCGCCCGCGCCGCGCGGCCUUCUGGGACUUGUAGUCGAGCGGAGGGGCCCGGCCCAGCGCGGGGCCGAGUGAGCGAACUACGAGCCAGCGGUGAACAGAGUUCCGCCUCUUUGACAGGCUCCCAGACGCCCCCGCGCCCCACGCCCCCGCCGCGGGUCCGUAGCCGGGUUCGGCCCCCGGGAUGGCGUCGGGCAGGCGAGCCCCCGUUCUGACCCGCCGGGAACGGCUCUGUGACCUUGGCCCGGUUCGAAUCCGCCUCCUCCACUGGUUGGCCCUGUGACCUUGGGCCGGGGCCCUCGCCUGAGUCCAGGUGACUCAGUGGGACUCGAAGGACCCGUCUCGGGUGCUGGGCCGCGUUUCUGGACGGAGAGCGCUGGGUCUGGCUGCCGGGCUGGUCAGGGGCCUCCCGCCCCGGGCGAUGGGGCCGCCGCGAGCCUUCAGACCUGGCCGCUCGCUUAGAAUCGCUGGGCUGGAGGCGCCCUUCCCACCUCGUCUUCUUCCUGCUGCCCCUUUGCAGCCACCGCCCGGGCUCCCGGUACCUUGCGACCCUGCGCUGUCUCAGGGCGGUCCAGCCGCUCCUCACGACCUCGCAUGCACCCGCCGCACAAGCCACGAACCCCGUCAGGCCCUCCCCGGCCCUGCAGUGGGGCCACUCCGCCGGGACCCUCCUGCCUGGGCCGCUUGCCCGUCAUCGGGAAGCCCCAGGGCCGAGAUGCAGAGGACCUUGGCGCUAGAGUGUAUGGUACGAGGGCCUUCAUUUGCAUUUCUUCCUGGGCCCCACAACCUUCAUCUCUGGGCCUGCCAGGACCCACCGCCUCACCUUCACUCUUGCCCCAGCUGCAGCCGCGGCCUUUUAAUCCUCUGACCGGUUAGUGCCACAACCAGAAUGAGCUAAUAUGAUCAAUUAUGUAGGCAGAAUAAGACCCCUCACUUCUCCUGGUGGGU